GCUAGGGAUGGCAUCUAACUGUCGGUACAUAGUGCUGAGGAAAGUCCGCCCACCUUGAAGAUAAGCUCUUCAAAGCCAUUAAGGCAACCACUUUCCACAAGGAAAGAUUCGGAAACGAAUGGCAACCGUCCAGAAACAACACGGCCUUUGUGAUGUUAAGCAAUGAGAUUGCAGGGAUUCAAAACCCUGGGUAUGAAACGAUACCUGACGUUUUCCGCGAGGAAAAUCAGAUAACCAGUCGAGCAUGCAUAAAGGGAGCGGUGAAACAACGAGCCCUGGUUGGUGCAAGUCAGAACGACGCUAAGUAGAAUGUUGGAAUGAUCUUUUCCAAUCUCUUGAAUGGAAGAUCAACAAAAGGCGGCUUACGCGUCCCUAGC
rnacentral:RNase_P_RNA from 2 species